AGAACCAUGGAGUUGGUUCUCACUCCACGUUGUUUUGGGGUGUUGCAGGUACACACGUGAGCGGCGCGGCGGCGCGAGAUAAAGGCGUAGUUCCUUGAUAGCGCCCUACGCCAGAGACUAGAGAUAGCAGUACCCCGUGUCGGCAUAGCCUAGGGGUAUAGGGAAAGGAAAGAACAAGAAUGUAUCAAACUUGUAAUAAAUUUGUAAUAAUUAGAUUGUAAUUUGGAAGUUGAAUGUGAAAGAAACUGCGAUGUAAAAAAAUGUAAGCUGGUGAAUGCUUGUAAUAACUUAGUUGUUUAUGUUUUUGAUACUUCCUUAUGCAAUCUAUACUUGAUUUCUGUUUCUGGUUGGAAUAUCGUGAAUUGUAUUAAUUGCGACUCCUAGGAUGUACAGGAAAAACUCUGUCCGUUCGGCGGUCUGUCGGUGUGCUCGAAUUCGACCAAAUAGGCGGGUGUUGGGGCGUGACAGCUCCGGAGUCGGGCUUAGUGCUUUUGCGUUGAUGUCGUAGAGUCCUGGUUGGACUUGCUCUCCACCAAUAACCCAGUGUGGUGGUUGGUGUAGCUUCGACAGGCGAGACGGGUGUGUUCAUAGUCUUUAGUGAGAUUGGGUCAGAGACUGCAUCUUGCUUAUAUCUACAGAUAGCUAGUGUUGGUUAGCGAUAGUAUAGUGGCAUGUAGCUGUAGAGUUUUUUCAGCUUUCUUUACUAUCCUUGAGCAUACUUUCUGUAGACUUAGUGGGUGAGCCGUUGAGGUUGGUAGUGGUACCCACUAAAGACUACUUCUUUUUGCAAUAGUUCUCACACCCAGUUAUUGAUCCCUUUUUGCAGAGUCUUCGUCUACGGCUGCUGCUGUUGCUGAUUUUGAUCGUGGAAAGGGAGUCGCGAGUUAGAUCCCUUCC
rnacentral:lncRNA from 1 species